rnacentral:rRNA from 1 species
CCUACGGGAGGCUGCAGUCGAGAAUCAUUCACAAUGGGGGAAACCCUGAUGGUGCGACGCCGCGUGGGGGAAUGAAGGUCUUCGGAUUGUAAACUCCUGUCAUGUGGGAGCAAAUUAAAAAGAUAGUAUCACAAGAGGAAGAGACGGCUAACUCUGUGCCAGAAGCCGCGGUAAUACAGAGGUCUCAAGCGUUGUUCGGAAUCACUGGGCGUAAAGCGUGCGUAGGUGGUUGCGUAAGUCGUGUGUGAAAGGCGCGGGCUCAACCCGCGGACGGCACAUGAUACUGGGAGACUAGAGUGAAGGAGAGGUAAGCGGAAUUCUCGGUGUAGCAGUGAAAUGCGUAGAUAUCUGGAGGAACACUCGUGGCGAAGGCGGGUUCCUGGACAUUAACUGACGCUGAGGCACGAAGGCCAGGGGAGCGAAAGGGAUUAGAUACCCUUGUAGUC